rnacentral:sRNA from 1 species
GAUGUGUGAAGGAUUUAUAGAUGGGAAUGAAGAUGAAGAUGGAGCUAACAACAAAGGUC